rnacentral:rRNA from 1 species
GUGUCAGCAGCCGCGGUAAUACGGAGGGUGCGAGCGUUAUUCGGAAUUACUGGGCGUAAAGCGCGUGUAGGCGGGGAUGCAAGUCUGAUGUGAAAGCCCUGGGCUUAACCUGGGAAGUGCAUUGGAAACUGCAUUUCUUGAGUACUGGAGAGGAAGGGGGAAUUCCCGGUGUAGAGGUGAAAUUCGUAGAGAUCGGGAGGAAUACCAGUGGCGUAGGCGCCCUUCUGGACGGUUACUGACGCUGAGACGCGAAAGCGUGGGGAGCAAACAGGAUUAGAUACCCUGGUAGUCCACGCUGUAAACGAUGAUCACUAGGUGUAGCGGGUACUCAUUCCUGCUGUGCCGUAGCUAACGCGUUAAGUGAUCCGCCUGGGGAUUACGGUCGCAAGACUAAA